rnacentral:misc_RNA from 1 species
AAAGUCGUAACAAGGUUUCCGUAGGUGAACCUGCGGAAGGAUCAUUAAAGAGUUAGGGGUCCUAGUGGCCCCAACCUCCCAACCCCCCUGUCGUUGAAAUUGCUUAAAACCUUGACCUUUGCUUUUGGCCGGUUUGGCAGGGACCCGGUUUCCGGGUUCCUUCCCGGAAGGCCGGCCGUUAACCUUCGGGGUUGGCGAGCGCCUGCCAGAGUCCAACCAAACUCUUGUAUUAAACCAGUCGUCUGAGUAUAACAUUUUAAUUAAAUUAAAA